AACCUCUGGUCGUGGACAGGUUGGUCAUCACGUAUCGUUAACACCGAUAAGGUCGCCGGAUCGAGCCCGGCACUGGUCA